GUCUAAGUAUAAGCAAUUAUACCGUGAAACUGCGAAUGGCUCAUUAAAUCAGUUAUCGUUUAUUUGAUAGUACCUUACUACUUGGAUAACCGUGGUAAUUCUAGAGCUAAUACAUGCUGAAAACCCCAACUUCGGGAGGGGUGUAUUUAUUAGAUAAAAAACCAACGCCCUUCGGGGCUUCUUGGUGAUUCAUGAUAACUUUACGGAUCGCAUGGCCUUGCGCCGGCGACGGUUCAUUCAAAUUUCUGCCCUAUCAACUUUCGAUGGUAAGGUAUUGGCUUACCAUGGUUUCAACGGGUAACGGGGAAUUAGGGUUCGAUUCCGGAGAGGGAGCCUGAGAAACGGCUACCACAUCCAAGGAAGGCAGCAGGCGCGCAAAUUACCCAAUCCCGACACGGGGAGGUAGUGACAAUAAAUACUGAUACAGGGCUCUUUUGGGUCUUGUAAUUGGAAUGAGUACAAUUUAAACCUCUUAACGAGGAACAAUUGGAGGGCAGCU
rnacentral:rRNA from 1 species